rnacentral:lncRNA from 1 species
ACUAGGUCAUGAUUAACCCUUGAGAUAGUUGUCGUAUUUGUCCCAUCAUAUAAUCAACUAAUCAUAUUCUAGAUCCAAAUUUGAACUAAGCCAAUUCUAGUUUUCCUUGACAAUUCCAUUAUACAAGUUGAUAUUUAUUCUAAGCUUCGAUAAUUAAAAGAUUCUAGAUUAACUUACUCAGGAGCUUACUCAAUCAUCCCGAAUCUUUUCUUUUAGGCUAAACUUAUUUGGGCCUCUCAUGAAAUCCCACUUGCAUUUCUCAUAUGGUGAUACAAAAUCCACAAUCAACUCAUAGCCUUGAUUAAUAAAUAUUUAACUCACACAAAUCUAAUAAUCUGGUUCAAAGAUUUACAAGAAAUUCCUCCAAGAUAUAAGCUCUAUGAUUUUACAUUGAGAUCAAUUCCUUAAAUAAGUAAAAUAUUUUUUAUUUGCAAUACUACAAUAUUUCGGAAUCUUGUAAACUACUAGACUUAGAGAAUCUAUUCAAAACACCACAAACUCAUUAACUAUUUCAUCCCUUUAGUAAUAGUUCCCUUUUUUUUUAAUAUAUAUAUUGCAGAUAAAAGAAUCUACUAAUAACACAAUGAUAUCCAUAUUGAUCAAAAUCAAAAACACUAUACUUUCCAACGAAAUUUUUCAUUAACAAGAAAAACCAUCAAGAACUUUUCCAAAUCAAAGAGGUCCUAUCUUCGACCAACCCAAAAAUAUUUUAAUACUCUAAUAUUCUCAAGACGUACUAAUUGACUUUUCAUCAAAAUAUCAAUCUUAAUUGUUUCAAGUCUCAAGUAGAGCCAAAUAAAAAUUCUUAAGUCUCAUCCCCAAGUAUAUUUUUCUUCUAUAUACAAGUUCCAUGCAUGAUCCACAUACAGAUUCCACCUCUUAUAGAGAAAAGAACUUAAAGCAAAAUACUUAAUAACACGGCGAUACAUUUAUACAAAACUUCUUUUCAAUAAAUAUUUUCUAGUCCAAGCUUUAAACAUCUUUUUAUAGAUGAAUCUUAAUUUGCCACCAAAAUAAUUAACUUCAACUAGAAGCAAUAUCCACAGUGCCUGAUAUCAAGUUAAACUUCCAAAAUAAUUACAUUGCACGAUAAUAUCUCA